rnacentral:rRNA from 1 species
UGGGGAAUAUUGCGCAAUGGGCGAAAGCCUGACGCAGCGACGCCGCGUGGGGGAUGACGGCCUUCGGGUUGNAAACCUCUUUCAGCAGGGACGAAGCGAAAGUGACGGUACCUGCAGAAGAAGCACCGGCCAACUACGUGCCAGCAGCCGCGGUAAUACGUAGGGUGCAAGCGUUGUCCGGAAUUAUUGGGCGUAAAGAGCUCGUAGGCGGUUUGUUGCGUCGGCUGUGAAAACCUGAGGGCUCAACCUCAGGGCCUGCAGUCGAUACGAGCAGACUAGAGUGUUGCAGGGGGAGACUGGAAUUCCUGGUGUAGCGGUGAAAUGCGCAGAUAUCAGGAGGAACACCGGUGGCGAAGGCGGGUCUCUGGGCAACAACUGACGCUGAGGAGCGAAAGCGUGGGGAGCGAACAGGAUUAGAUACCCUGGUAGUCACGCCGUAAACGUUGGGCGCUAGGUGUGGGGCUCAUUCCACGAGUUCCGUGCCGCAGCUAACGCAUUAAGCGCCCCGCCUGGGGAGUACGGCCGCAAGGCUAAAACUCAAAUGAAUUGACGGGGUCAUAGCUGUUUCCU